CACCGAAUGUCGAAAGCAGAAGAUCGGAAAUCGAAGUAAACCGCUCGUGCCCCGACACGGCGAGACUCUGUCGCAGUGAUUGUAUCUCGGUCUGGUUCGUCUGGAUUGAAGAAUUGAAACUCUUCGUUCGAAAUUCCAUCCAUAACAACAAUCUUGCACUGGUAGAGUACCUGAAUCGUAGAGAUGAGAGCCAAAACCCUCGUGCGUAGGCCAAAGUUGUGCAGAUCGCCUCAUCCUGUCACCUCCAACUCCACAAUGAGGACGCGACUUCCUGUCCUUGAAAUGCAGUUAGUAUUAGAUGGCUCAUUGGGUGUAAUGCUUACUGAGUUUGCACAGAGUGAAGAUAAUGGAGAAGAUGCAAGUGGUAGUGAGAGUGAAGAAGAAGAUUGGUUAACUGUGAAUUCUCAAGAGACCUGUAUCAAAUGCAAUGAGGUAGGCCAAAUGUUGGUUUGUAGUGUUAGUGACUGUCCGGUUGCUGUUCACGAGAAGUGCUUGGCUUUCAAACCUAGAUUAGAUGAUAUGGGAAACUUCCGCUGCCCUUAUUGUUGGUACAAACAAGCAGUAGAAAAGAAAUGGGAGUUAAGGAAGAAGGUUAUGCUUGCGAAGAACGCGUUGUCUGAUUUUAUAAAUUUCAAAGUUGUCGAGGAUGACCAGGAAAAGAUGAAGGAUGGGAAAGCUAAAGAGAAUGGUGUAAAUACAUCACCGCUAGAUUGCUGUGAUCAUGAGAAAGGUGUUGAAGAUGAAGAGCGAGCAGAGCCUUCAAAUACUUGCUGUGUUGAAGAAGAUAUAGUUGUGAAUGUUUCACUUCAUAUGCCAGGAGAAGGAACCAUGACAGCUGAUAUGUCCAAAGACAAGCAAGGCAUAAGGGAGAAAGAAGAACAAGCACAUCUGGAAGCUGCAGAAAAUACCGUUUCAUCUACUAAAGAAGACACUGGUCUGAAGGUGCCUGCAGAUGAUGGUGACAUGUCUGAAGCAUCUGAUUCAGACACUCAGGCACCUUUGGUACAUAGGACACCGACCAAACAGAGAAGUAAAAUGAAAGUAGGUGGCAAGAAUGUUGAUCCGUCUAAGAAACCACUGCCUCAGAUACGCAAGAUUCUGGAGAGAAGAGCUAAAAAUCAAAUUAAGAAAGAAAUUGCCUACCUAGAAUCUUCUUAUCAACUGAAUGUGGUGUCUUCUAAUGAAAGCCGUAAGAGAGCACGUUGGACACAGGAGGAGGAAGAUAUAUUAAAGGAAGGAGUGCAGAGAUUUUCAUCGAACAAGAACGUAAAUUUUCCUUGGAAGAAAGUCUUGGAAUUUGGUCGCCAUGUUUUUAAUCCAACUCGUACUUCUACUGAUCUCAAAGAAAAAUGGAAAAGAUUAUAGCCGAAGGAUCCACAGAAGGCAAGAACGUGUUACUAUGAUGACACAACAAAAGGAUGUCUGAAGAAAAUUAGAAACAAAGAAGAGGAAUUCAGCCUUCAAUCAAAUCUAUAAUUUUCGGGAAGAUAGUCCGAAAUUGUGCGAUGCCAAGCAGAAAAAGGUGGCUGGAGGUUGAAGAUGGUCCAAAUUAACCAGCCACCAAUGGCGUUAUGUAUUUGGUUUUGUAAUUUUGUAUGCUUUGGAAAACAAAAAAUGGAGCUGGAGAGGCAUAUAAAUGGCAGAUGUAAAUUUUAUGUCUCUUUUGGUCCUCAAAGGGCCGAAUACCCAGUUAUUUUUACUUUAAUGAGAUUAUGUCAUUUUAAAGGUUGUUGGUACCAA